GUGAGUGUGAAAGUGUGUGUGAGUGUGAACUGUGUGAGCAUGUGGGUCAAGUCUUGCACCUCUCCACACCAGUGAGGAGUCAAAAGGCUCCCUGGAAAACUCUGGGUUUUCUAUGGCACCCAUUCAGGCUUCUACACCACCAGGGUGUCAGCAGGACUCAGUCCGCCGUGGGCCCCGCUCAACGGGAAAUGUGAUUCCCAGGGGUCACUGGUUCUCAACACAGGAGGAAACACCUGUAGUCUCUUCAAGCCUCACUAAACAACUCCUCAUUCUUUUAAUAUUGCUUGUCUGUUUAUUCCAUUUUAAAACACGUUAGCCCCUCCCCUUGCCCCCCAGCUACUACCAAAAUGGCACAGCUUAAUCAUGCUUAAAUAUGGGGACUCUGGUUCUGACGGUACACAUACCCAUGGAGGAAGAGGCCAACUCAAUCGGGGAAGAAAGGAGAAGACACUCAAGCUCUUCAACUGAGAAUUUGCCUCCGGGCAAGACAGCGGAGCAUACUGAAGAGAUUAUUUAAUUCAGAGUCACAGAGCCUUGUUUGGAAUCCGGCUGCACUGCUAGCAGUGUGGCCUUGGGUGAGGAAACAGAGACUCCGAGAGGUUACCUCACGUGUCCCUGGGACCCAGCUGGUGGGAGCAGAGCCAUGGUUUGAAUCCAGUUUUCAGAUUAAACAUCACGUACCCAGAGAGGACUUACCUGAGCUCCAGAACUAAGAUCAGAGAAACUGCCAGAUGCUCACACAGCAUCCUUCCUGUCUCUCCUCUUCAUUAGCAGUCUUCUCACCUGUUUGUUUUCCCUCCUAGAUCCUAAGAUUAGGGACAGUGUCCCUCUUACUCAUUGAUAUAGCCCUAGCACCCAGGAUAGUGCUGGUUGAAUAGAAUUGAAACGUUCCCGCAUUUCAGUCAAAUGUUCAGGACAUCUUCCUCACGUACAAUGCCUUGGGCCAUGAAGACAUUACCCUCCAAUUGAGUGCUUUGGGGUCAUUUUUUUUUAGCUAAAACCUACAAUUAAAGAAAUAUUUACUGUGCAGAAGAGUUCCGUGGCCUCUAAUUCAGUCCAAUUUAGCUUAACGAAUCAAACAUUUACUUCCCCUACCACAACUUUAUUCUCUGCCUCUACUCUGUCCACCAGCCUCACUUGUGGUCUGUGGCUUGUGGGGCAUGAGGGGAAGGAAGGAGGGUAGUUGUGACCACCAACAUAACCACCACCAAUUGAUACUACUUCCCAGCAUGUUGUUGCCACUUUAAGUAAAACUGUCCUUCCUACUGGAAGAAAAGUUUCUAACACACUGAUGGUCUGGGAAUCUGAGACAGCUUCAGAGGAUCGACAAGUAACCAGAGCUGGCUUUGUGUAUACACAGGCUAGCCAACAUUUAUGGACUGUGGUUUCAGAGGGCACCUCUGCCCUCCAUCCACAUUUCCCCAACUCCCGACCAAAAUGCACCAGUUAG
rnacentral:lncRNA from 1 species